AUUGAACGCUGACGGCAGGCCUAACACAUGCAAGUCGAGCGGAUGAAGGGAGCUUGCUCCUGGAUUCAGCGGCGGACGGGUGAGUAAUGCCUAGGAAUCUGCCUGGUAGUGGGGGAUAACGUCCGGAAACGGGCGCUAAUACCGCAUACGUCCUGAGGGAGAAAGUGGGGGAUCUUCGGACCUCACGCUAUCAGAUGAGCCUAGGUCGGAUUAGCUAGUUGGUGGGGUAAAGGCCUACCAAGGCGACGAUCCGUAACUGGUCUGAGAGGAUGAUCAGUCACACUGGAACUGAGACACGGUCCAGACUCCUACGGGAGGCAGCAGUGGGGAAUAUUGGACAAUGGGCGAAAGUCUGAUCCAGCCAUGCCGCGUGUGUGAAGAAGGUCUUCGGAUUGUAAAGCACUUUAAGUUGGGAGGAAGGGCAGUAAGUUAAUACCUUGCUGUUUUGACGUUACCAACAGAAUAAGCACCGGCUAACUUCGUG
rnacentral:rRNA from 1 species